UCGGGAAUUUUGGGCAAUGGGCGAAAGCCUGACCCAGCAACGCCGCGUGAAGGAUGAAGUAUUUCGGUAUGUAAACUUCGAAAGAAUAGGAAGAAUAAAUGACGGUACUAUUUAUAAGGUCCGGCUAACUACGUGCCAGCAGCCGCGGUAAUACGUAGGGACCAAGCGUUGUUCGGAUUUACUGGGCGUAAAGGGCGCGUAGGCGGCAUGACAAGUCACUUGUGAAAUCUCUGGGCUUAACCCAGAACGGCCAAGUGAUACUGUCGCGCUAGAGUGCAGAAGGGGCAAUCGGAAUUCUUGGUGUAGCGGUGAAAUGCGUAGAUAUCAAGAGGAACACCUGAGGUGAAGACGGGUUGCUGGGCUGACACUGACGCUGAGGCGCGAAAGCGUGGGGAGCAAACAGGAUUAGAUACCCGCGUAGUCCCUGAGCGGGC
rnacentral:rRNA from 1 species